UGGGGAAUAUUGCACAAUGGGCGCAAGCCUGAUGCAGCCAUGCCGCGUGUGUGAAGAAGGCCUUCGGGUUGUAAAGCACUUUCAGCGAGGAGGAAGGUGGUGAGCUUAAUACGCUCAUCAAUUGACGUUACUCGCAGAAGAAGCACCGGCUAACUCCGUGCCAGCAGCCGCGGUAAUACGGAGGGUGCAAGCGUUAAUCGGAAUUACUGGGCGUAAAGCGCACGCAGGCGGUUUGUUAAGUCAGAUGUGAAAUCCCCGGGCUCAACCUGGGAACUGCAUUUGAAAACUGGCAAGCUAGAGUCUCGUAGAGGGGGGUAGAAUUCCAGGUGUAGCGGUGAAAUGCGUAGAGAUCUGGAGGAAUACCGGUGGCGAAGGCGGCCCCCUGGACGAAGACUGACGCUCAGGUGCGAAAAGCGUGGGGAGCAAAACAGGAUUAGAUACCCCUGGUAGUCCAGCGCUGUAAAACGAUGUCGAUUUUGGAGGUUGUGCCCUUGAGGCGUGGCUUCCGGAGCUAACGCGUUAAAUCGACCGCCU
rnacentral:rRNA from 1 species